CAUCAACCCGUUCUACAUCAAACGCCACCGCCAUUGCUCAAUCCAGCCACAAAUCGCGCCCCACUCUGUUCCAAAUCCAGAAACACCCACCCUGCCACCUCAAGUUCCGUCGCCUCCAAUUUCGAGCAACUCGCAAUGCCCCCGAAACAUCUAACUCGCGAUCGUCGUCUCCAAUUGUAAUCACCACCGCAGCCACACCAACCGCCGAUCACCUUCACAACGUCGAAGCCCAUAAUCACUACAGCCGCCAGCUACAAGCGCUUAUCCUUAUAGCGACGCCGUCCAUAAUCACCUCAACCACCAACACCUCACCUCCACUCGAUCCCCAAUUUGCCAUCAUGCAAAUUGGGCUAGAGAGAAUAGUCAGCACUUGAUUUUUU
rnacentral:lncRNA from 1 species